GACGAACGCUGGCGGCGUGCUUAACACAUGCAAGUCGAACGGAAAGGCCCUGCUUUUGUGGGGUGCUCGCGUGGCGAACGGGUGAGUAACACGUGAGUAACCUGCCCUUGACUUUGGGAUAACUUCAGGAAACUGGGGCUAAUACCGGAUAGGAGCUCCUGCUGCAUGGUGGGGGUUGGAAAGUUUCGGCGGUUGGGGAUGGACUCGCGGCUUAUCAGCUUGUUGGUGGGGUAGUGGCUUACCAAGGCUUUGACGGGUAGCCGGCCUGAGAGGGUGACCGGCCACAUUGGGACUGAGAUACGGCCCAGACUCCUACGGGAGGCAGCAGUGGGGAAUAUUGCACGAUGGGCGGAAGCCUGAUGCAGCAACGCAGCGUGCGGGAUGAAGGCCUUCGGGUUGUAGACCGCUUUCGCCUGUGACGAAGCGUGAGUGACGGUAAUGGGUAAAGAAGCACCGGCUAACUACGUG
rnacentral:rRNA from 1 species